rnacentral:rRNA from 1 species
UACGGAGGGGACUAGCGUUGUUCGGAAUUACUGAGCGUAAAGCGCACGUAGGCGGAUUUGUUAGUCAGGGGUGAAAUCCCGAGGCUCAACCUCGGAACUGCCUUUGAUACUGCAAAUCUCGAGUCCGGAAGAGGUGAGUGGAAUUCCUAGUGUAGAGGUGAAAUUCGUAGAUAUUAGGAAGAACACCAGUGGCGAAGGCGGCUCACUGGUCCGGUACUGACGCUGAGGUGCGAAGGCGUGGGGAGCAAACAGG